UAUUCAUGAUGAUGAUGAUGAUGAUGAUGAUGAUGAUGAUGAUGAUGACAAUUAUUAUCAUCAUCAUUAUCAUCAUCAUUAUCAUCAUCAGACUCA
rnacentral:pre_miRNA from 1 species